AAAGCCUAUGAAAUAAAAACACCGAUUAAGAAAGGAAGCCUCCUUCGCCGGAUAAAAAAACAUGGCUCCGACGAAGAGAGGAAAGAAGAGCAAUUCGGCCGCAUCAACGACGGAAAAACCCACCGCCGAUAACACUUCGAGCUUUCCGGCAUGUUUGCGCCUCCUUACGCCUUCCUCCGUCGCCAUCACCAUCCACGCGAAGCCUGGUUCCAAAUCUGCCUCCAUCACCGAUGUGAGCGACGAAGCGGUGGGCGUUCAGAUCGAUGCUCCGGCAAGGGAUGGUGAGGCUAACGCUGCACUUCUCGAGUACAUGAGCUCUGUGUUGGGUGUGAAAAAAAGACAAGUUUCAUUGGGUUCAGGAUCCAAGUCUCGAGAUAAAGUUGUGAUUGUCGAGGAUAUGACCCAACAAAGAGUCUUCCAAGCUCUGUCCGAAGCAUCAAAACCUACUUAAAAGUCUCCCCAAGACUGUAACUUUGUGGAGGAAACGAAGCACUAGAAGAUUAAGUGGUUGAUGAAGAUUUUUUCAGACUUGUGAUCAUUGGUCAGUUUCGGCUGCAAAAGGUUUUGGGUCUGACACACCGCGAAGAUAGGGACGGACACAAACAAUAUGGCGCCUACGAUCUGUUCUCUGUCGUUGGAGCCGUACGUUUCAAUUCCACAGUGUUUCCGUUGGAGAUCGGAUCGAGAUCCGAGAUCGUGAGGUUGUUAUCGUGAUGCUCGAGGAUGAGAGGAAAUUCUUUAUCGAGAAGAUCCUCAGGACCGAAUCUAUGCGGCAAUCUGCUUCCGAGGCGGAGGAAUCCGUCCGAAUCGGCGUCAGAAUCUACGGUGGCGUUCGGAUCGAUGACUAUGAGCUUGAUCUCUGACGCGUCGCGGAUCUCUUGGAGUAAUUAACGGCAAUGUCCCCACGGCGCGGCGGAGACGGCGAAGUGACGGAGAUGACGCUCGUCGUUGAGCGUGAGAUUGGUGACGAGGAACUGCUCGACGUGGAUCGAGUGGUGGAGAAGGAGGCCUGGGGACUCGACAUUGACGCCUAAGAAGAUCCGACCCGAUGAUCCGAGCCCGAUAGCUCCGACGUGGAAUUUUGAGAUUGGUGGUAGAGCGAAGGAUUUUGCAGGAUAGACCAGCGAAGGGAGGAGCUGGAAGACGGAGAUGCCGAGUUGAUUCACGGCGGAUUCAGCUUCUUCGGGUGAGAUUACAAAGCUAGGCUUAUCCAGUUACACCUCCCCAAUACAGAACAAUCAAGCAACAAAAACAACAUGGUCAUCGAUGCUAAGUUGUUGCAAGCACAAUCAAGCUGGGAACUCAUCUCUAUUGAUGAUCAUAGAUGAAGUGAAAGGGAAGAGUUUUCUCUGGAACAGAGGAUGUUGGUGCUGACAAAUGUCACAAAUACAAGGUAACCCGUGGAUCGACCCGCAAACAAGGUGAAUUUAUCGGGGUGGGCUUGGACAAGAGGAUCCAGGCCGCAACCGGCCGCGGACAAACCCGCACGGUCUGGUGAGCGGAUGGACCCGCUGCGGGACUGUCCAGGUGGACGCAGGUCAACCCGUCUGACAACUCUAGAUCCAGAAAAUGAGGAUCACCAGAUGGAUGCUAACUACUAACUAUGCGGAAACUAUUUGUAGAUAGCAACAAAGUGGGAAACUAUAUUACGCAAACGGAAUACAAUUUGGUUUUCCACCUUUCGGUUUAAUUAUGAAAUACAAAACCAUGUUUCUUUCAUUCAGAAAACAGAAAAUAACAUUUAAAUAUAAUCCAAGUAUAACCGGUUGCAGGUUUUUUGGGAAUAGGAUAAGACUUAUGGUUUAGAGGCCAAAUCAGUCAUUCCACCUUGCUAGACCUACAAGUUCUCCAAUUAUUAAAAAAUAAGCUCAGUCAUGCAAUUUCGAAACUUGCUAUGUAUAUUGAGCCAAAUGAGCCUUAAUUUUAACAGAAAAUAAUAUAUAUUAUAGUUUUAUAAUAUGUUUUAAAUAUAAUACUCUUACCUAUUGAUUAACAUAUUCUCGAAUAAUAAAUAAAUUAUGUGUUGUGCCCGCAUAUACGGGUAUAACCAGCUUAAAAAAUUUAGACAUACAUUAUUUAUUCGAAAUCAUCACAUAUUUCAAUUAUAUUGCCUCCAACUAUAUGUUAGGUGAAAUCUCCCAAAAAUCUUCAUCGAUGACGUUAAUUUUAUCACCAAUUUCUUUCUGUCACAUGUAAGUAUAUCUUUUGUAGAAACAAAUUUUACUCAUAAUGAAAGUAUAUGAUAAAAUAUAUAUUUUGUCUAAACAUUUUUAUACUAAAAAUGAUAAUGAUUAUUGUUAACAACUACAAUUGGUUAAUAAUUCUAUUUUAUUUAUAUUAACUUGAUAAAUAUAUAAAUAUAUAUACAUAUAUCCAUUUUUAUUAAUUUUGGAUAAUAAGAUAUUAAUUAAUAUUUUAGAUAAUGAUAAUGAAUAGUAUGAGUCUGUAUUGUUGAUGACAAAAAAAAAGAUAAUGAAUAGUUAAAUUUUCUUUUACUUGAUUAUUAUUUAUGCAAGUUUACCUUUUAUUUUUAAGUGAAUUUUAUUAUUGUAUAUAAAUAAAUAUAGUUAUUUAAUUAUUAAAUAGAAUAAAUAAAUAUAAUAUCUAUACUCUUAUUUGCGAAAUGAUUUUUCGCAUUCGUGCUCUCAUGUUAAUAGUUAGAUCGUUUAUACCCUUAAUGAAUAAAAUAUAUAAAUUAGUCACAAAAUAAAAAAAAAUUAACUAUUUCUUAGAUAAAUGUUUUAAAAUAACAAUUAUAAGAAUUAUCCAAAAUCUAAAAUAUAUUUUAAAAUAAAAAGAUAAUUCACAUAUAUACCGUGUUGUUGUCUGAAAUUUAAAAAUUAAAACAAAAAAUACAUAUCUAAAUAUUAAUCAAGUAAAAUUAUUAAUUUUAUAAUUGAAAAGAGAAUAUUGAGUGAUUUCUAAUUUUUAUUUCUAUAUCAUGAAUAUAGUAUACAAAGAAAUUUCAAAGUUUAUAAUACAUAAGAAUUAUCGAAUGAAAACAUAAAUAAUAAUUUAUCACUAAGUGAUAACAUGCACCUUGUGCAGAAUGAAUUUAUAAAAACAGUUAUAUUUGGUGAAUAUAAAUUCUACUAUACAUUUUUCUGUAUUCUAAUAAUAGUUAACAAAUAAAUACAUGCCGAAUAAUAACCAUUUAUAUGUAUCUCGUGCGGAAUGAACGUUGUAUAUACAAUAUACAAAUUAUUUUAUAAACUAUUACUUAUUUUACGUUCUUUUACAUUAUGUAAUAACAAAUGAUAAAUAUAUUUUUGAAUAAUUGAGAAACAUUAAUUAUAAAGUAUAUAAUUAAAUUGGUGCAAACACAUAAAUCCGACAAAUCACUUUUAUUUAUUUACUAUCAUUUUAUGAUAAGUAAAUCUAAAUAAUCACCUUUAUUUAUUUUUAUAUAAUUUAAUUUAAAUUCUAACAUAGAUAUAUAAUAUAUUUUUAAUAUGGCUAUCUAUUAAAUGAGACUUCAUAGUAAUACGUUUUAUGAUGAUUCAUAUAUUUUUAUAACAAAAUUUUUAAAUCAUUGAUAACAAAUUUUUCAAUGUGGGAUUUUUAAUAAGUUUAUAAUUUAUCAAUUUUCUUGAAAAUUCAUUGCAAAUUUUGAAAUUAAAAUAUUUAUGUAUUUUUUGUAUAAUAGAAAAGUUAAACCAUUGAUCAUAAAUUUUUUAACAUUAGAAUUUUAACACUUUUAGUAGUUUAUAGCCAUUUUUAAAAUUAAAAAUAUAAACCAUACAAAAAAAUCUAAAUUUAUAAUUUAUAUUUAAUUUGAUUAUUUAAUUUAUCAAAUAUUUAUUAUCAAGAUAAUUAAUUAUUAGACAAAAAAUAAUGGAGGAAACACAAAUUGUUAUCAAAUCUUUAUUACUAAAAUCAUUAAUUGUCAUAUAUAUAUAUAUAAUAUUAUUCAUAUUUGGUAAUUAUAUACCUUUUAUUUAAGGAAAUAAAGGAAAAUAGUAAUUUUACACUUUUAAUUAAUUUUAUGAUUAGUUUAAUGAAAAGUAUAAUAUAUAUUUAGGUGAACCAACAUAUUUUUCUAAGGAUUCGGAAAAUCAUUAUGGUGAUGACACGUGGCUACACUCAAAGGUUAUAAUGCUCCUCAAUUAAUAUAUAAGAGAUUAUAGUCUUUUAAUUAGUAAUACACUUAUUAUUAAGUAUUUUUCAAAUUUAAACACCUAGUCUAUACUAAUAAAAAUAACUAUUUGAAGCUCUAUGAAGUGUCUACAUCAGCAUAAAAUCAUUCUUCCAAAAGAAGCUACAUGUCUCAUUAAAUCAAGAAAAUUAUAAUAAGUAAUAAAAUAUAAGAAAUGGUAAUAUUACAUUAAAGAAAAAAAACAAGAAAAAUAUAAUAAGUAAAUUUACAAUAUAAAAAAUGUUAACACAUUAAACAUAAUAUUUGAAAUAAUGUAUAGUUUUGUAUUUUUAUUAUUUUCAAAUAUCAACCCAAAUAAUAUUACAUUUUUAUAUGAAGUACGGCUUAUUUCCUUCUCAGAAUCAUGGUUAUAAAAUCAUUUUCCUAGCAAUAGUGGGCUUACACUUCCCGUUAUAUCACAGGGAACACAAGAAAAUAGUGAUGGCAUCAAUAGGUCAAUCAUGUAGGAACCUUAUUUUACUAGGGCAACUGAUAUUUGUAAAAAAAUAAUAAGAAUAUAAGUUAAAAUUACAAUACCAAAAUAUAAGAAUAAAGAAGAAUUAUAGAAUCGAGAUGGUUAAUCUCUUUCCUUUAAUCUUUAAACGCCUCAUAGUGUGACGGUUUCAUAGCGCUCAGAUUUUCAUGAUACAACUGCAGCAUUGUUUAUGUUUACUAUUCUCAAAAAACAGAAUCUACCGAACCUAAUUUUUGUUGUACUCUCAGACUCAAAGUAAAAGAAAAAAUACUAACAUAACUAUUCUGAGUGGAAGAAUUGUUUCUUGAUUGUAUGAAUGUGUGUUCUUUUCUAUAAUGCUAGCAAGCCCUUUUAUAGAAAAAUAAUGAGAAUCACAAGUUUUAUUUUUCAACACAAAAAAUGAAACCUCCAUGGUGCACUAAUGCAGUUUUUAAUUAUUGUCAAUAAUUAUGUGAAUUUAUUCCACAUUUUGACCAAGAAAUUAAAGAGUAAAAUUAUUAUUGUUUGACCAAUUCAAACUAAAUAAUAUACUUUUAAAUGAUUUUUUAAUAUAUUUCAUCAAUAUAAAAGAUCAACAUAUAUUUGGUUUAUAAGAUUAAGUUAAUGAACAUGAAGUCCAACUGACAAAUAAAAAAAAACCCAAAUCCAAGAUCAAAUAUCCAAUGUGUGUAUUUGCUACUUUAUACAAGUUUUUUCAAAUCACACACAUUAGACCUCCAUUUCUCAUUCAAAUAAAACUUCAUUUUUGACAUAUGAAUAUACUAUUCACAAUGUUCAAAAAAUAGUUCCAAUAAACUUGACCUCCUAGACAAGAAUCGACAAGGCUCAACUAAGAACUUUUGAGAGUACAAACGAGAAAUUCACUGCAUGAUGAGUUAGUAGCAAUUUUUCAGCCUUGAACCAGUCAUUGUUAUUAGCUAUCGGAUUUACUCGGCCAGGAAGUGGCCAUGAUGUCUUGAACCUCCCGGGCUUUGGUGUAAACCUAUACAAUAGCUAUAACACAGCUUCAUUCUCUCACAGAAACUAGGUUCUCUAUUGUGUUCAUUUUGGCUGUGAACAGCCCUGGUUAAUCAUGAGUGAACUUGGAGAAUAUAACAUUUCCUUCUUUAUCCUAGAAACGGUCCCAUUUCACAUUCACUAGGUGAUUUGCCAUUAGUUUUGUUUAGAGGAGUAUCAUGUACUACUCCAUUCAUAUCUCAAAACAAUGGACAUAAAUCAUUAAAAGCUAAUGCUUAUCUUCUAUUCCUUACAUGUAGCAUUGUUUAAUCAUCAUAGGAACUAGGUAUAGACCGAAGUCUUACAGUGCUUCGAAAAUUAUUUUAAUUUUCUUAAAAAAUAUAUUUUAAUCUUAGAAAUUCACAUUUUACAUACAACUAUUUUCAUAGUUUUCUCAAGUUGAUUAAUAAAUCUAACUUGUAUGUUUUGAAUUUUUCUAAACACAUACUUUGCUUUUUAACAAAUAUACAUAUCAUUACAAGAUAUUAUUUGUGCCAUCAAAACCACCAUUCUAUAUGAUUAUUCUAAGUUAUAUUGAGUUUAGAAACUACAAUACACAUUAAUUUCAGUCAAUAUUGGUCUGGAAUUUUGUAUUUUUUUUUCAUGGGAUCAAAAUAACCGAGGUCAUCGAUUUUCUGUCAUUAGUCCUAUGCAUAUAGCACUAGGCACUAACAUACAAUCCGAUAAACAUCAGAAUUUGGUACAAUCAGACGUGGCAGACCACUACCAAAAUAAAUUUGGUGCGUCGACUCACUAGACUUGUAACCAAUAACACUUAUGUGUUAAUAGAAUAUAGACAUUUCAAUAAACCAAAAUUCCAAUCUAUAUGACACGAGAUUGUAAGUGGCAGACCAUUCUCAAAUUGAGAUGUCGACUCACCAUACAUACCCGUUCUCUCAAAUGUUCAACAUAUACAUAUGUUCAGUUUAGCCGUUAAGUACAAGCGAUUGCAUGCAGUCAAUCUAAAUUAAUAUUAACCAGCUCAUAUAAAAUUAAUAAAUUAAAUAUGCAGUUAAUAAAAAUGACUAAAGAACCGAAAAAAAAAAACCAUAUGAACCAGAACCUUAAAAUCGGUAAAGCAAGUCAAAGCAUUAACAUGCACAAUGACUAGUAACGUUUUCUUAAUCACCUUCGAGAGAUAGUAUUAUUUUUGCAAAAAAGGAAUGCAUUUUUUUUCAGAAAACAUUUUUACGAGUUGAAAACAGUAUAAACUAAACCAAUGCUUUAAACAAGUCAAACCAAAAUCAAAUACUUAAACCGGCAGACUUGUUUUUUUUUUUAUAUAUUUUUGUUAAGUUCUGCAAUUUAAUAAAAUCAAAUUAAAACACUCAACAAACCCAUAGUAUGAUUCGGAUCAGGGCAGUCAACAACUAGCGAUCCAUGAUCAUAACUCUCUCUCCUUCUGAAUACCUGUAUUUUCAUAGUACUUCUAACAAAUAUCAGAAUUAGUAAGAGGAAUUGAUUUUAAAGUAUUUUAACUCAAAAACAAUUCUAAAAAAUAAAGAAUAAUCUGAUGGAAUCAAAUGAUUUUCCAUCAUAACUAUUUCUUCAAUUCUGAUCCAGCAUCUUUUUGUUGAUAUUGAUGGAUAUGUUCUUAAAAAAAAACUUUUAACAAAUAUCAAUAUUGUUAGUGAAAAAGCAUAAACAAUAUUUAAAGAUUUAAGAGUGUAAGAACUUUAUUUUACUACCAUAGUACAACUGAUAUUUGUAAAGAAUAAUUAAAACAUAAAUUAAAAUUACAAUACCGAAAUAUAAGAAUAAAGAAAAAUUGCAGAGUCGAGAUGGUUAAUCUCUUUCCUUAAAUCUUUAAACACCCCGUAGUGUGACGGUUUCAUAGCGCUCAGAUUCAUAGAAUACAACUGCAGCAUUGUUUCUGUUUACCAUCACCGAAAAACAGAAUUUAUCGAACCUAAUUUUGUGUUGUACUCUCAGACUCAAAAUAAAUAAAUAAAUAGCAUAACUAUUCUGAGUGGAAGAAUUGUUUCUUGAUUGUAUGAAUGUGUGUUCUUUUCUAUAAUGCUAGCAAGCCGUUUUAUAGAAAAAUAAUGAGAAGCACAAAAAAUGAAACCUCCAUGGUGCACUAAUGAAGUUUUUAAUUCUUGUCAAUUAUUAUGUGAAUUUAUUCCACAUUUUGACUAAGAAAUUAAAGAGUAAAAUUAUUAUUGUUUGACCAAUUCAAACUAAAUAAUAUACUUUUAAAUGAAUUUUUUUAAUAUUUUAUCAAUAUAAAAGAUCAACAUAUAUUUGGUUUAUAAGAUUAAGUUAAUGAACAUGAAGUCCAACUAACAAAUCAAAAAACUCAAAUCCAAGAUCAAAUGUCCAAUGUGUGUAUUUGCUACUUUAUACAAGUUUUUUUUAAAUCACGCACAUUAGACCUCCAUUUUUCAUUCAAAUAAAACUUCAUUUUUGACAUAUGAAUACACUAUUCAUAAUGUUCAAAAAAAGUUCCAUCAAAUCAGAUUUGUGAAAUGAAUGCAAUGUGUACGUCCUACAUGAGAACAUUCUACUAUAAUAGUCAGAUUUUUUUUCUUUUGCAGAAUAGUAAGUUUCGAAUAUGGAACUACACCAAAAAAAUACAAACUUUAUAGACAACGAAGACAACCAAGAGGAGAUUGUGGCUGUUGAGAAAUGCUUUAUGAUGCAGCCUGCCAGAAAUCCACUCCAUCAAAUCGCAAAGGAAGCAUAUGUGUUGUAUAAUGGUUCCAAGACAAAUGUCGACUAUUUAACUGAAACAACAAUCAUCACACCCCGAAACGAAACAGUCGAUGAGAUAAAUAAGUAUAUGUUAUCUAAAGCCCUUGGAUAAUCUAAAGAAUACUUUAGCUACAACAGCAUAGCAAAUGCAUAUUCAAUCGGGCUUCACUAUUAAACAAUGUAUCCCCCAGAGUACUUGAACUGCUUAGAAUUUCAAGGCUUGCCCAAACAUAAGCUUGUCUUAAAAGUAGGCAUCCCAGUUAUGCUACUGAGAAACAUCAACGAAAAAGAAGGUCUAUGCAAUGGGACAAGAAUAAUCGUGACUUAUAACAGAAUGAACUAUCGAAGGUGAAAUAGUCACAUGUACACAUGUUGGUAAAACGGUUUUACUCCCAGGAUAACUUCCAAUAAGAGUAUGCUAGGCAGUGACCGUAAACAAAAGCUAAAGACAAAACUUGAAAUCAGUUAUUCUAUAUUUGCCUAAACCAGUUUUCAUUCAUGGCCAGCUAUAUGUUGCUCUCUCAAGAGCAACAUCACCUGAAGGCUUAACAUUUUCAAGAAGAAAAAGACUCAGCGACUAGACUGAAUAACAUUGUGUAUUAAGAAAUCUUCAACAAUAUUCCCCAAUAGUAAGGUUCGCAAAUCAUAAACAAAUCUAUUUGUAUAUAUAUAUAAACAUUAUAUAUGUCUAUUCACUAUACAUGUUCUUAAAUAUGACGAGUAAAUAGAAAAUCACACAGACAUACAUCUACAUGUAAUAGUUUAAAAAAAAUACAAGCAGUUGAAUACAUAUUUUCUUCAUAUUAGAGAAGAAACUUUGUUAUUCAAAAAACAAGGCAUGAUUCACUCACAAACUUACUAUUUACUCCCAAAUAAUACAAGGAACAUAAUACCACACAACUGGAUGAUCGCGGUGGAACACAUAACUCGGCAUAUUGAGAUUUCUGAAUGAUAUAUGAACACCUCUGUUUUACGGAUAUAUUACAGAUGAAUUGGGAUUUCAGAAAACUUCAUAUUUUUAAAAUUAAAAUUAUAAUUAUGAAAAAUGUAUUACAUAUAAAAAAAUUAAAUAUCAAAUUUAUUUGAAAAAUAAGUAUCGACAGUGUCGGUGGGUGAGGGCUCCAGCUCGAUGGUCUCCGCGUAGGGUGAAGCACAACAAAAGUGUAGGUGUAAGGUGUGAUGGUGGAGUGAACGGAAACAUCGUGAAGGAGUAGUGACGGUUAUGGUGUGAGGAGGUGCUAGGUGGUUGUUUAGGAGUGGCGGCUGCGGCGGUAAAAAAGAACUGCGGUGGUCGAGAUAGUGUUGGCCGUUCAAGAAUUUGAAGUGGUGGUGAAUUUUUAAAAAUAUCUAAAAGAAACAUACAGAAAGAGAGGAAAUAAUGAAAAAAAGAUGAGAAAAAAAAGAAUGAAAUAAUUAUGAAAAUUAGGGUGUUUUUCAAAACCAACCCAUUUUUUCAAGUCAAACCUAAAACCAACCCUUUUUUUUUGUCAUUACUAUUCAUCAAUGAAUUUUCCAUACUAUCCUUAUGUUUUUAAAUUAUUUACAAAAUUGCCAUUAUAAUUUAUUUUUUUAUUAAUUUCGAAAUUAACAAAAAACCAAAUACAUCCUAACAAUUUCUUCUUAUUUACAAUAAUGCCAUCAUCAUCAAUUUUUUCAACCACCAUGAACCACUAUUUUUGAACUCUUAAAGCUCUAAAAUUUAAUUUUCAACCACUUAUCUCUCAUUCUAAACCAAUAAAUCUUCAUUUUCUUUCAUUUUCUCUACAUUUCCAUCUAAAAAUCUCUCAUAACUUUCAUUUUCAUAAUCACAAACUUCAUAUUUUUGAGUUUCUUCAUCAGUAAAUCGUCAAAAGUGCUUUUUUUGCUUAUGUUUGGAGUUUGGACGGUUGAAAAGGUUGGAAAUGAGCUUUAUACCGGAAAAAGGUAACUAUUUACAUGGUUUUCGUCAUUUUUCAGAUCUGUGUCGCGAUAGUAGACUGUUUUGUAUGUCUAUGCCUAUGUGUAGACUUACAAUGCAGUCUACUUGUCAACGCACAAGUCAGUUUUUCAAUUGACCAAAAGAAAUUUUUUGGUAACAGAGACUUUCCUAGCAGUCUACGUCUUUACCUUUGGCAACAAAAACAAAAAUUUAGGUAGACUUACUAAAACGUCUACGCAAAAGAGGUUAAUUUUGCAUUUGACCGAACUUUUGACUUUUCAAAGUAGACUUCACCGGAUGUCUACAAAAUGUAGACUGCUCGAGAAGUCUACAAGAGGUCAGUUUUGCAUUUGACCAAAACUUUGAUUUCGUUGAAUAGGUUCGUUUUGUGUUUGACAAAAAAAUUUAAAAAUAUUUCAAAAAUUUAUUAAAUUGUAGACUUCAUAUGCAGUCUUCUAAUAUUAGAAAAAAAAUGUAGACUGCAUGUAAAGUCUACUUUUUUAUUUUGGUCAAAUGCAAAACUAACCCAUCGGAUUUGAAAGAAACUUCAUGCGAAGUCUUCACACUUGUAGAUGUUCAUUUCAAUCUACUCGUUGAAAGUCAAACAUGGUCAAUUGCAAAACUAACCUCUUUCAAAAAAAAUUCAAACAUACAGACUGCAUAUGAAGUCUAAUUCUGAAAGUCAAAUCCUAAGUGAAUUUUGGUCAAUAGCAAAAACUAACCUGUUUAAAGUGUAGACUGAAAAUGAAGUCUACUUUUAUGAAAUCACAAUUUUUUUUCAAAUAUAAAAAGUAACUCGUAAAAUUUGCAAUUGCAAAAACUAACCCAAAAAGCAGAUCUAUUUGACAGUCCACACUAGUAAACUGAAAAGAACGUCUACAUCUCCUUAGACUGAAUAUGGAGUCUACAUA